GACGAACGCUGGCGGCGUGCCUAAUACAUGCAAGUCGAACGCAGUGGGGACGGGUGAGUAACACGUGGGUAACCUCCCAUCAGAGGGGAUAACACUUGGAAACUGGUGCUAAACCGAUACUGAUGGAUGGAGCCGCGGUGCAUUAGCUAGUUGGUGGGGUAACGGCGCACCAAGGCCACGAUGCAUAGCUGGCCUGAGAGGGUGAUCGGCCACACUGGGACUGAGACACGGUCCAGACUCCUACGGGAGGCAGCAGUAGGGAAUAUUCGGCAAUGGACGAAAGUCUGACCGAGCAACGCCGCGUGAGUGAAGAAGGUUUUCGGGUCGUAAAACUCUGUUGUUAGGGAAGCGUUAUCUAACCAGAAAGCCACGGCUAACUACGUGCCAGCAGCCGCGGUAAUUC
rnacentral:rRNA from 1 species